CUACGGGAGGCUGCAGUGAGGAAUAUUGCACAAUGGAGGAAACUCUGAUGCAGCAACGCCGCGUGGAGGAUGACGCAUUUCGGUGUGUAAACUCCUUUUAUAUGUCAAGAAAAUGACGGUAGCAUAUGAAUAAGCACCGGCUAACUCCGUGCCAGCAGCCGCGGUAAUACGGAGUGUGCAAGCGUUACUCGGAAUCACUGGGCGUAAAGGACGCGUAGGCGGGAUAUCAAGUCAGGUGUGAAAUCCUACAGCUUAACUGUAGAACUGCACUUGAAACUGGUAACCUAGAGUAUGGGAGGGGGAGAUGGAAUUAGUGGUGUAGGGGUAAAAUCCGUAGAUAUCACUAGGAAUACCUAAAGCGAAGGCGAUCUCCUGGAACAUAACUGACGCUAAGGCGUGAAAGCGUGGGGAGCAAACAGGAUUAGAUACCCUCGUAGUC
rnacentral:rRNA from 1 species